UACGAAGGGGGCUAGCGUUGUUCGGAAUUACUGGGCGUAAAGCGCACGUAGGCGGACUAUUAAGUCAGGGGGUGAAAUCCUGGAGCUCAACUCCAGAACUGCCUUUGAUACUGAUGGUCUCGAGUCCGGAAGAGGUGAGUGGAAUUCCGAGUGUAGAGGUGAAAAUUCGUAGAUAUUCGGAGGAACACCAGUGGCGAAGGCGGCUCACUGGUCCGGUACUGACGCUGAGGUGCGAAAGCGUGGGGAGCAAACAGG
rnacentral:rRNA from 1 species